GGAUUGUGGCUCAUUGGUAGAGCACUUGCCUAGCAUGUGCGAGGCUCUGGGUUCAAUCCUCAGCACCA
rnacentral:tRNA from 1 species